GAUGAACGCUGGCGGCGUGCCUAAUACAUGCAAGUAGAACGCUGAAGGAGGAGCUUGCUCUUCUGGAUGAGUUGCGAACGGGUGAGUAACGCGUAGGUAACCUGCCUGGUAGCGGGGGAUAACUAUUGGAAACGAUAGCUAAUACCGCAUGACAACAGUUAUUGCAUGAUAACUGUUUAAAAGGGGCAACUGCUCCACUACCAGAUGGACCUGCGUUGUAUUAGCUAGUUGGUGAGGUAACGGCUCACCAAGGCGACGAUACAUAGCCGACCUGAGAGGGGGGUCGGCCACACUGGGACUGAGACACGGCCCAGACUCCUACGGGAGGCAGCAGUAGGGAAUCUUCGGCAAUGGACGGAAGUCUGACCGAGCAACGCCGCGGGAGUGAAGAAGGUUUUCGGAUCGUAAAGCUCUGUUGUAAGAGAAGAACGAGUGUGAGAGUGGAAAGUUCACACUGUGACGGUAUCUUACCAGAAAGGGACGGCUAACUACGUG
rnacentral:rRNA from 1 species